CCCAAAAAAAAUAAAAACACACAAAAAUAAAAAUCUGAUAACAAAUAUUUGAUGUCUGAAGUAAAAUCUUUAAAUAAGCAAAACUUUCAACAACGGAUCUCUUGGUUCCGGCAUCGAUGAAGAACGCAGCGAAAUGCGAUAAGUAAUGUGGACCGCAGUACUCAGCGACUCAUCGAAUCUUUGAACGCACAUUGCGCCACUUGGUAUCACCAAAGGGCACACCUGUUCGAGCGUCAUCAUACAUCGCAUCAAGUCAAGGGCCCGGCUUGCAAAUGGGCUUUGUCUGCUUUAUGUAGAAGUCUAAAAGUCAGUGGCGGUUAAGUUAGGCAUUCCAGCGUAGUGGGAUUAAAUUAGCUGUUGAAAUGUCUUUUACUUGACAGCCAAAAUGUCCAGGGUUUCUGCUGGCGGAGACCCCCAGGGUUUCUGUUGGCGGAGACCCUUGGAUUUUAUCAACUAUGACCUCGAAUCA
rnacentral:misc_RNA from 1 species